AGAGGAUACACAGGUCAACAUGCAGUAGUCUGUAGAGGAUACACAGGUCAACAUGCAGUAGUCUGUAGAGGAUACACAGGUCAACAUGCAGUAGUCUGUCUAGAGGAUACACAGGUCAACAUGCAGUAGUCUGUAGAGGAUACACAGGUCAACAUGCAGUAGUCUGUCUGGAGGAUACACAGGUCACCCUUGGGUCAUGGCUUAAUACUGGAUCCUGGCCCAUCCAUCCUGACUGAUUUCACUUGGCUUAUGGCUUAAUACUGGAUCCUGGCCCGUCUGUCCUGGCUGAUUUCCCUUGGGUCAUGGCUUAAUACUGGAUCGUGGUCCGUCUGUCCUGGCAGAUUUCCCUUGGGUCAUAGCUUAAUACUGGAUCCUGGCCCAUCCAUCCUGACUGAUUUCACUUGGCUUAUGGCUCAAUACUGGACCCUGGCCCGUUGGUCCUGGCUGAUUUCCCUUGGCUUAUGGCUUAAUACUGGAUCGUGGUCCGUCUGUCCUGGCUGAUUUCCCUUGGGUCAUAGCUUAAUACUGGAUCCUGGCCCAUCCAUCCUGACUGAUUUCACUUGGCUUAUGGCUCAAUACUGGACCCUGGCCCGUCGGUCCUGGCUGAUUUCCCUUGGCUUAUGGCUUAAUACCGGAUCCUGGCCCAUCGGUUCUGGCUGAUUUCCCUCAGGUCAUGGUUUAAUACUGGAUCCUGGCCCAUCAGUCCUGGCUGAUUUCCCUCAGGUCAUGGUUUAAUACCGGAUCCUGGCCCAUCGGUUCUGGCUGAUUUCCCUCAGGUCAUGGUUUAAUACUGGAUCCUGGCCCAUCAGUCCUGGCUGAUUUCCCUCAGGUCAUGGUUUAAUACUGGAUCCUGACCCGGAAAAUUGAUCUGUGUGUUUACUUGUGGAUCAUAGGAUGUCCCAAAUGGCACCCUAUUGCCUAAUACUCUGGUCAGAAGUAAAGUACUACGUCAGUGGAGGCUGCUGAGGGGAGGAUGGUUCAUAAUAGUGUCUGAGAGAGAAUGGAAUGGAAUCAAACACAUAGAAACCAUGUGUUUUAUACAAUCACCACGAGCCCGUCCUCCACCACUAAGAUGCCACCAACCUCCUGUGCUAUAAAGGGAACAUGGUGCCAUUUGGGAUGCUAGGUGCUUUAUGAAACACAAGGGUGGUGGGACAUACAGCUAGAGGUAGUAAACCAGAGGGAGAGGAGGCUGUGUUGGAGUACAGGGGUGGUGGGACAUACAGCUAGAGGUAGUAAACCAGAGGUAGAGGAGGCUGUGUUGGAGUACAGGGGUGGUGGGACAUACAGCAGCUAGAG
rnacentral:lncRNA from 1 species